CUGAGAGGAUGAUCAGUCACACUGGAACUGAGACACGGUCCAGACUCCUACGGGAGGCAGCAGUGGGGAAUAUUGGACAAUGGGCGAAAGCCUGAUCCAGCCAUGCCGCGUGUGUGAAGAAGGUCUUCGGAUUGUAAAGCACUUUAAGUUGGGAGGAAGGGUUGUAGAUUAAUACUCUGCAAUUUUGACGUUACCGACAGAAUAAGCACCGGCUAACUCUGUGCCAGCAGCCGCGGUAAUACAGAGGGUGCAAGCGUUAAUCGGAAUUACUGGGCGUAAAGCGCGCGUAGGUGGUUUGUUAAGUUGGAUGUGAAAUCCCCGGGCUCAACCUGGGAACUGCAUUCAAAACUGACUGACUAGAGUAUGGUAGAGGGUGGUGGAAUUUCCUGUGUAGCGGUGAAAUGCGUAGAUAUAGGAAGGAACACCAGUGGCGAAGGCGACCACCUGGACUAAUACUGACACUGAGGUGCGAAAGCGUGGGGAGCAACCAGGAUUAGAUACCCUGGUAGUCCACGCCGUAAACGAUGUCAACUAGCCGUUGGAAGCCUUGAGCUUUUAGUGGCGCAGCUAACGCAUUAAGUUGACCGCCUGGGGAGUACGGCCGCAAGGUUAAAACUCAAAUGAAUUGACGGGGGCCCGCACAAGCGGUGGAGCAUGUGGUUUAAUUCGAAGCAACGCGAAGAACCUUACCAGGCCUUGACAUCCAAUGAACUUUCUAGAGAUAGAUUGGUGCCUUCGGGAACAUUGAGACAGGUGCUGCAUGGCUGUCGUCAGCUCGUGUCGUGAGAUGUUGGGUUAAGUCCCGUAACGAGCGCAACCCUUGUCCUUAGUUACCAGCACGUAAUGGUGGGCACUCUAAGGAGACUGCCGGUGACAAACCGGAGGAAGGUGGGGAUGACGUCAAGUCAUCAUGGCCCUUACGGCCUGGGCUACACACGUGCUACAAUGGUCGGUACAGAGGGUUGCCAAGCCGCGAGGUGGAGCUAAUCCCAUAAAACCGAUCGUAGUCCGGAUCGCAGUCUGCAACUCGACUGCGUGAAGUCGGAAUCGCUAGUAAUCGCGAAUCAGAAUGUCGCGGUGAAUACGUUCCCGGGCCUUGUACACACCGCCCGUCACACCAUGGGAGUGGGUUGCACCAGAAGUAGCUAGUCUAACCUUCGGGAGGACGGUUA
rnacentral:rRNA from 1 species